rnacentral:tRNA from 1 species
GUGGCUAUGGCUUGAUGGCAGAGUGCAUGCUUAGCAUGCACAGAGCCCUGGGUUCAAUCCCCAGUAUCUUCA